CACGAAGGGUUUCGGCCUUAGUGGCGGACGGGUUGAGUAACGCGUAGGUAUCUAUCCAUGGGGUGGGGGAUAACACUGGGAAACUGGUGCUAAUACCGCAUGACACCUGAGGGUCAAAGGCGUAAGUCGCCUGUGGAGGAGCCUGCGUUUGAUUAGCUAGUUGGUGGGGUAAAGGCCUACCAAGGCGAUGAUCAAUAGCUGGUUUGAGAGGAUGAUCAGCCACACUGGGACUGAGACACGGCCCAGACUCCUACGGGAGGCAGCAGUGGGGAAUAUUGGACAAUGGGGGCAACCCUGAUCCAGCAAUGCCGCGUGUGUGAAGAAGGUCUUCGGAUUGUAAAGCACUUUCGACGGGGACGAUGAUGACGGUACCCGUAGAAGAAGCCCCGGCUAACUUCGUGCCAGCAGCCGCGGUAAUACGAAGGGGGCUAGCGUUGCUCGGAAUGACUGGGCGUAAAGGGCGUGUAGGCGGUUUGUACAGUCAGAUGUGAAAUCCCCGGGCUUAACCUGGGAGCUGCAUUUGAUACGUGCAGACUAGAGUGUGAGAGAGGGUUGUGGAAUUCCCAGUGUAGAGGUGAAAUUCGUAGAUAUUGGGAAGAACACCGGUGGCGAAGGCGGCAACCUGGCUCAUUACUGAC
rnacentral:rRNA from 1 species